rnacentral:rRNA from 1 species
GACGAACGCUGGCGGCGUGCCUAAUACAUGCAAGUCGAGCGAAUGACGAGAAGCUUGCUUCUCUGAUUUAGCGGCGGACGGGUGAGUAACACGUUGGCAACCUGCCCUACAGAUCGGGAUAACUCAGGGAAACCUGGGCUAAUACCGGAUAAUCCUUCCAAUCAACCGUUUUGAAGUUAAAAGGCGCUUCGGCGUCACUGUAGGAUCGGCCCGCGGUGCAUUAGCUAGUUGGGGGGGUAACGGCCUACCAAGGCAACGAUGCAUAGCCGACCUGAGAGGGUGAUCGGCCACAUUGGGACUGAGACACGGCCCAAACUCCUACGGGAGGCAGCAGUAGGGAAUCUUCCACAAUGGACGAAAGUCUGAUGGAGCAACGCCGCGUGAGUGAUGAAGGUUUUCGGAUCGUAAAACUCUGUUGUAAGGGAAGAACAAGUACGUUAGGAAAUGAACGUACCUUGACGGUACCUUAUUAGAAAGCCACGGCUAACUACGUGCCAGCCGCCGCAGUAA